CAGGGGGUAGUUUAAUUAAAAUAUUAAUUUUGGAGAUUAAUGAUAAAGAAUGUUUUCUUUUUUCCUGA
rnacentral:tRNA from 1 species